rnacentral:rRNA from 1 species
GAUGAACGCUGGCGGCGUGCCUAAUACAUGCAAGUCGAGCGAACAGACGAGGAGCUUGCUCCUCUGACGUUAGCGGCGGACGGGUGAGUAACACGUGGAUAACCUACCUAUAAGACUGGGAUAACUUCGGGAAACCGGAGCUAAUACCGGAUAAUAUAUUGAACCGCAUGGUUCAAUAGUGAAAGACGGUUUUGCUGUCACUUAUAGAUGGAUCCGCGCCGCAUUAGCUAGUUGGUAAGGUAACGGCUUUCCAAGGCGACCAUGCGUAGCCGACCUGAGAGAGUGAUCGGCCACACUGGAACUGGGACACGGUCCAGACGCCUACGGGAGGCAGCAGUAGGGAAUCUUCCGCAAUGGGCGAAAGCCUGACGGAGCAGCGCCACGUGUGUGAUGAAGGUCUUCGGAUCGUAAAACUCUGUUAUUAGGGAAGAACAAAUGUGUAAGUAACUAUAGACGUAUUGACGGUACCUAGUCAGAAAGCCACGGCUAACUACGUG